GGGCGUCUCUCUACGCAGGCGCACUUCAGAGUGCGGUGCCUGGAGCCCAAGUCUGACGCGCAUGCUCGGGGGAGAAGGCGGGCGAGGCGUCUGCUGGAUGGUGCAGAGACCGGAAGCCGCCUUACAGAGGCGAGAGCUCCGGAGAAGGACUAAACGCGCAGCGUGCGAGGCGGCCGCCCUACCUGGUCGACGGUUGGACCGAGGCUGAGAAGCAGUCCUUCAGAAUACGCGGCCUGCCAGAUCUGUAGUAAGAUCAGUGCUGAACACAAGGCUGUUUCUGGCUUCCGGAGGACAGAGCUGGGGCCUUCCAGAUGUCUCUUGCCCAAGUCUCUUCACUAGGAUCCUGUCCAUACCGCUCUCUCAGCUGCUGUGGCACUCUCUGCUGGAACCAGUCCAAGGUUAUCUCCAGGUCAGCAAAGCGACUCUGAAAGAAAGUAACAGUUCUGCUGACGUAGUGCAAGCGCGAGCCUCUCUGCACAAAAUGGCGGCCACAUAUGCCAGAUGCCUGUCCAUGGACCAAAGUCAUUUCAGAACAUGAGCAAAGUGCCUACAUACAUACAAGUAAGUUGCAGUUUAGCCCAAGCUGGGCUUGAACAUGAGAUCCUCCUCUCUGAGCUUCCCACGGUGCUGGGAUUACAGCGUUUCUUUGAGCUCUUUUGAGAACAAAUCCGAAAUGACUGAGCAAUACUGACUUAAGCAACCACAUACUCGUUACUCAUCCAGGAAGCAGAGUGGUAUGUGGAGAAUGAAGCCACCUUGGUUCUCCUGGAGGGGCGGCCAGGCAGGUCCACAGAGCUGGGCCAGUGGUUUCUGGACCCUGGUCUCCCCUUUCACUAUGUAGAAGACUUCUGCGCAGCUUCCCAUGAGGUUCUGUCUUCCCAAAUAGCUCAAAGUAAAGCAAUUAGAAAUAAAAUUAUAAUCAGAGAAAGUUUACUCUCAUGAUUUUAAUGUUGUAAAACAUAAGAACUGAUAUUUAAUACU